GACGAACGCUGGCGGCGUGCUUAACACAUGCAAGUCGAACGAAGUGGCGAACGGGUGAGUAACGAGUAAUCAACCUGCCUUUCCGAGGGGGACAACAGUUGGAACCGACUCCUCAUACCGCAUACUGAAGGAGGGGAUUGCUUCUGAUUAGCUAGUCGGCGGGGUAACGGCCCACCAAGGCGAGGGUCAGUAGCCGGUCUGAGAGUAUGAACUGCCACAUUGGGACGGGGACACGGCCCAGACUCCGACGGGAGGCAGCAGUGGGGAAUCUUCCGCAAUUGACGAAAGUCUGACGGAGCAACGCCGCGUGAGUGAUGACGGCCUUCGGGUUGUAAAGCUCUGUUAAUCGGGACGCGGUACCGGAAUAGAAAGCCACGGCUAACUACGUGCCAGCAGCCGCGGUAAUAC
rnacentral:rRNA from 1 species